UAAUAAAUGAUCUGUGGGGUAUUUUGAGCUGAAACUUCACAGGCAUUCUGGGACACCCAAGACCAAUAUUACAUCUUGAUUUCAUGAUCGUGAAAUGCUAUAUUUCUUACCGCAUUUGAAUGAGGAAGAUGCUUUUCAUGUCGCUAUACUGAGAUGGAAUGAGCUCUGCCGUUCUCGUCUUUAUGGGGUGAUGAUGUGGAGCAGUUAGAGGGUCGUGGUGACAGGACACAUCGCACUCCACAUGCUGUGAGAACAUAAACAGAGAUCUUGAUUAAUAGGGUUUAAAUGGCUUUAACUGCACCCGCUUCCAGCAACAACUGAAUCCCGAGAGGAUUCUUGAGUCACUAAGGGACCUCCCCUGAAGCAUGCUGUUGCUAUAGGCACCAGUGUUUGGAGAAGAUGAUCCAUGUUGAUGUACUGGAAAUGUUUUAAGAGGUGGGACCCCUCUCUGGUUUGUGACUUGGAGCUGUAGUCUUUGUUCCACUAUGGAGUCCCAUGCCAUUGAGCCUGCUGUUCUGAUGGGUCCUGUGUGCUCUCUGAAACUUCUCACGGGACAGAAAUGCAUCGCAUGGCUCUGCGCAUUUUUGCUCACGGGUCAGCAUGGGGCACCUUGCUGAAUCUAAUGUGAUUGCUUACAAGUUACACCUAGAGAAUGUAAGAAGAAGAACGACAGAGAAAACAUACAGUGAAUAAUGAACAUAAAUCAUGUGUUGGGUCAUUUCUGUUACGCAUUAUCAUUUGAACUGUGUACUUUAACUUUAACAAAAUUACUAUGCCCUUAAGGAUAUAUUUCUAUAAUUAUGCCAGACUUCCAAAAAUAUGUUCUGGUCAAACUCAACUUUAAUAAUGAUGACUUGAUUAUUUACACAACAGAAAGAAAAUAAACAUGAUGCAAUCUAACAAGUUCAAAAUAAAGAGAUGAAUGUACC
ensembl:lncRNA